rnacentral:rRNA from 1 species
UGGGGAAUAUUGGACAAUGGACCGAGAGUCUGAUCCAGCAAUUCUGUGUGCACGAUGAAGUUUUUCGGAAUGUAAAGUGCUUUCAGUUGGGAAGAAACAAAUGACGGUACCAACAGAAGAAGUGACGGCUAAAUACGUGCCAGCAGCCGCGGUAAUACGUAUGUCACGAGCGUUAUCCGGAUUUAUUGGGCGUAAAGCGCGUCUAGGUGGUUAUGUAAGUCUGAUGUGAAAAUGCAGGGCUCAACUCUGUAUUGCGUUGGAAACUGUAUAACUAGAGUACUGGAGAGGUAAGCGGAACUACAAGUGUAGAGGUGAAAUUCGUAGAUAUUUGUAGGAAUGCCGAUGGGGAAGCCAGCUUACUGGACAGAUACUGACGCUAAAGCGCGAAAGCGUGGGUAGCAAACAGGAUUAGAUACCCUGGUAGUCCACGCUGUAAACGAUGAUUACUAGGUGUUGGGGGUCGAACCUCAGCGCCCAAGCAAACGCGAUAAGUAAUCCGCCUGGGGAGUACGUACGCAAGUAUG